rnacentral:lncRNA from 1 species
UUUCGUUUGGUUCGAUUUUAAGUAAGAAUUAGUUAUUUCAAAGAUAGAUAUAAAUCAUGGUAUAAAAAAAAAGCUAGACUAAUUUUACGUUUGGAAAAAAAUUACAUUAUUUUCGGGAAUAAAAAAAUAGUGUUUGAAUAGAUAUAAAAUGAAAUAGGAAGAGCAGUGGUAAUUAUAAAUAAAAAGCAAUAAUAUUACUUCUCUCAUUAAAUUUGAAUUUAAAUUUUUAAAUUUAAAAUUUUAACUUUUAAAUUUUUACAUUAAAAAUUUUAAUUUUAAAUUUUUAAAUUGAAGAUCAAGUUUAAAUUUAAAACAUAUAAAAUAUCAAAUUUUAAAUAAUUAAAAAAAAUUAAAAUUUAGAAUCUAAAAAAUUAUAAAAUUUUAAUUUAGAAAUUAUAAAUUAUAAAUUGUGUAAGUUAU